UGGGGAAUAUUGCACAAUGGGCGCAAGCCUGAUGCAGCCAUGCCGCGUGUGUGAAGAAGGCCUUCGGGUUGUAAAGCACUUUCAGCGAGGAGGAAAGGUGGUGAAGCUUAAUACGCUCAUCAAUUGACGUUACUCGCAGAAGAAGCACCGGCUAACUCCGUGCCAGCAGCCGCGGUAAUACGGAGGGUGCAAGCGUUAAUCGGAAUUACUGGGCGUAAAGCGCACGCAGGCGGUUUGUUAAGUCAGAUGUGAAAUCCCCGGGCUCAACCUGGGAACUGCAUUUGAAACUGGCAAGCUAGAGUCUCGUAGAGGGGGGUAGAAUUCCAGGUGUAGCGGUGAAAUGCGUAGAGAUCUGGAGGAAUACCGGUGGCGAAGGCGGCCCCCUGGACGAAGACUGACGCUCAGGUGCGAAAGCGUGGGGCAGCAAACAGGAUUAGAUACCCUGGUAGUCCACGCUGUAAACGAUGUCGAUUUUGGAGGUUGUGCCCCUUGAGGCGUGGCUUCCGGAGCUAACGCGUUAAA
rnacentral:rRNA from 1 species